rnacentral:rRNA from 1 species
GGUCAUUUAGAGGAAGUAAAAGUCGUAACAAGGUCUCCGUUGGUGAACCAGCGGAGGGAUCAUUACCGAGUUUACAACUCCCAAACCCCUGUGAACAUACCACUUGUUGCCUCGGCGGAUCAGCCCGCUCCCGGUAAAACGGGACGGCCCGCCAGAGGACCCCUAAACUCUGUUUCUAUAUGUAACUUCUGAGUAAAACCAUAAAUAAAUCAAAACUUUCAACAACGGAUCUCUUGGUUCUGGCAUCGAUGAAGAACGCAGCAAAAUGCGAUAAGUAAUGUGAAUUGCAGAAUUCAGUGAAUCAUCGAAUCUUUGAACGCACAUUGCGCCCGCCAGUAUUCUGGCGGGCAUGCCUGUUCGAGCGUCAUUUCAACCCUCAAGCACAGCUUGGUGUUGGGACUCGCGUUAAUUCGCGUUCCCCAAAUUGAUUGGCGGUCACGUCGAGCUUCCAUAGCGUAGUAGUAAAACCCUCGUUACUGGUAAUCGUCGCGGCCACGCCGUUAAACCCCAACUUCUGAAU